rnacentral:rRNA from 1 species
GAAUUCGCCCUUAGAGUUUGAUCCUGGCUCAGGACGAACGCUGGCGGCGCGCCUAACACAUGCAAGUCGAACGGAGUCAAGAGGAGCUUGCUUUUCUUGACUUAGUGGCGAACGGGUGAGUAACGCGUGAGUAACCUGCCCUGGAGUGGGGGACAACAGUUGGAAACGACUGCUAAUACCGCAUAAGCCCACGGAUCCGCAUGGAUCUGCGGGAAAAGGAUUUAUUCGCUUCAGGAUGGACUCGCGUCCAAUUAGCUAGUUGGUGAGGUAACGGCCCACCAAGGCGACGAUUGGUAGCCGGACUGAGAGGUUGAACGGCCACAUUGGGACUGAGACACGGCCCAGACUCCUACGGGAGGCAGCAGUGGGGGAUAUUGCACAAUGGGGGAAACCCUGAUGCAGCGACGCCGCGUGGAGGAAGAAGGUUUUCGGAUUGUAAACUCCUGUCGUUAGGGACGAUAAUGACGGUACCUAACAAGAAAGCACCGGCUAACUACGUGCCAGCAGCCGCGGUAAGACGUAGGGUGCAAGCGUUGUCCGGAAUUACUGGGUGUAAAGGGAGCGCAGGCGGACCGGCAAGUUGGAAGUGAAAACUAUGGGCUCAACCCAUAAAUUGCUUUCAAAACUGCUGGCCUUGAGUAGUGCAGAGGUAGGUGGAAUUCCCGGUGUAGCGGUGGAAUGCGUAGAUAUCGGGAGGAACACCAGUGGCGAAGGCGACCUACUGGGCACCAACUGACGCUGAGGCUCGAAAGCAUGGGUAGCAAACAGGAUUAGAUACCCUGGUAGUCCAUGCCGUAAACGAUGAUUACUAGGUGUUGGAGGAUUGACCCCUUCAGUGCCGCAGUUAACACAAUAAGUAAUCCACCUGGGGAGUACGACCGCAAGGUUGAAACUCAAAGGAAUUGACGGGGGCCCGCACAAGCAGUGGAGUAUGUGGUUUAAUUCGAAGCAACGCGAAGAACCUUACCAGGUCUUGACAUCCGAUGCAUAGUGCAGAGAUGCAUGAAGUCCUUCGGGACAUCGAGACAGGUGGUGCAUGGAUGUCGUCAGCUCGUGUCGUGAGAUGUUGGGUUAAGUCCAGCAACGAGCGCAACCCCUGUUGCCAGUUACCAGCACGUGAAGGUGGGAGCUCUGGCGAGACUGCCCAGAUCAACUGGGAGGAAGGUGGGGACGACGUCAGGUCAGUAUGGCCCUUAUGCCCAGGGCUGCACACGUACUACAAUGCCCAGUACAGAGGGGGCCGAAGCCGCGAGGCGGAGGAAAUCCUAAAAACUGGGCCCAGUUCGGACUGUAGGCUGCAACCCGCCUACACGAAGCCGGAAUCGCUAGUAAUGGCGCAUCAGCUACGGCGCCGUGAAUACGUUCCCGGGUCUUGCACUCACCGCCCGUCA